rnacentral:rRNA from 1 species
UACAGAGGUGGCAAGCGUUGUUCGGAAUUACUGGGCGUAAAGGGCGCGUAGGCGGCCUUCUAAGUCAGACGUGAAAUCCCCAGGCUUAACCUGGGAACUGCAUCCGAUACUGGAUGGCUUGAAUCCGGGAGAGGGAUGCAGAAUUCCAGGUGUAGCGGUGAAAUGCGUAGAUAUCUGGAGGAAUACCGGUGGCGAAGGCGGCAUCCUGGACCGGCAUUGACGCUGAUGAGCGAAAGCUAGGGGAGCAAACGGG